rnacentral:snRNA from 1 species
AUACUUACCUGGCAGGUGAGAUACCAGGAUCAUGAAGGUGCCUUCCCAAGGAUGAAGCUUAUCAUUUUCAGUCCAGAUGUGCUCAUCCUGUCAUUUCCCCAAUUGAGGCAAACUUGACUGCAUAAUUUGUGGUAGUGGGGGACUGCAUUCUCACUAACCCCCG